AGCAAUGCCACCAAACGAUUGGGAGAAAGUUUGUGAUCUUUUUGAAGAUUCUGCUUAUCAGCAACGGAGUACGGUGAACAGAGCAAAUAGAUCAAAUUUAACGAUACACCAUCAUGCGGGUUCUCGAUCUUUUCAUCGCUUGUAAAAAAAAAUGCAAAAAGAAAAUCCUGCUAAUUAUGAUUUGACCCAAUUGUAUGCUAAAGUACAUAAA